UCAGUAGCGUGGUCUGGGAAAGUCCCUUGAGAGACUAUAAAGACAGGAGGUGGAGACAGAAUCAGCAACUAUUUCCAGAAGCGUAAGGGUGAAGAAAUGGAAACAGAGAAGAGACAGUUGCCCAAAAAAUGGCUGCUGUGGUUUGCUGGGAGUUCACUUCAGGCCCUAUUCAUCAGGUUCACUCCCGUGCCUGGAGAUGUCACUCGAGGAGACUGGAGAACAGCAAAGAUGGAUGCCUGCUCCUUCCUCUGGGAUCUCUGACCUCGAGGGGCACCAAUGUGAUGCCAGUAGAAAUGCUCCCAUAUAAGGUGUCUGACAACCUCUGUUGGAGGAUCUCACUCAGUUGGAUGGCAUGGGAUGCAGGACCCAUUUAACGAAGCACUUUGGCUGUCCCUUGGUAGAGGGGGUGUGCCUCGCUGUGGGGAAACCUACUCCUCUGGGCUGCUCCGAUUCCUCAGAACUAGAAGAACAAAAGACCAAGUCUGCUGGUCCACGGAGACUAUGGCCACCCCUUCAUGGGCUCAGGCCCAGGGAGAUUAGAGUUCUGUCCCUGAGCCCCUGGUUGGAGUUGUUGGAAUUCCUGCAGGGAGGCCCCACCCAGUGAGGAGGAAUGGGUCAAGGUCAGGCCUGAAGAGGCACUUUGGCCGUAGUCUGCCACAGCCGGUUUGUUAGGCUGUGGCGAAUACCUCUUGGGACCCAACCGUCCAGCCUCCUUGGCUCCAGCAGAGGAAAAGCGUGGCCUGGAGCUAUAGAGAUGGCUGCCGCCCUUCCCCUGCCCUGGGAGCAUAGUGUGUUAGGCAGCUAGCAUUCCCAGUGUUGCCUGCCGCCCCUCCUCCAAGGAGCCCAGAAGGCUUAGACAGCAGGCAGCUGCAGCUGUGGCGAUGGCCUCCCCUCUCCUCAAGAACUGGGCAAGCUUAGGCAGAUUCUAGCUGAGUGGCUGUUGAGAAUCUGCAUGGCUCCAUAGUUGGGACGCUAGGCCACGGUGGCUUGGGUUCACGAGUGGGAUCUUCUGAUCUGUGGGUCGCUCAGUUGCAUGGAAAAAGCACAGUUUCCCAGGCUGGGUAGUGUGCUCACUCACCACCUCCGUUGGCUGGGGGUUGAGGUCUCCUCCGCCCCUUAUGGCUCUCAGGUGGGCCGCCCAUCACACUGCUCUUCCUUCCUCUCCGUGGGUCACCCCAGCCUCCUACUCAGUCCUGAUGACAGAACCUGGAUAUCUGGGUUGCCAGUGGAGGAUUCGCACACUGUUUUGGUUCUUUUCAAUGGAAGACUCUGACUGACACUGAUUCUAGUCGGCCAUCUUGGCCCUGCCCCCCAGUCAUAUUAUUUUCCAAAUCAAAUAAAAAUACAUGAUUGGACAGAUUUAUUUUCUGAAUUGUAGAACUUUUUACAUGAAAAUGCUUACAUACAAUUAAAUCAUAUUUAGUUUUAUGUUUAC
rnacentral:lncRNA from 1 species